CUCCAGCAUGCCAGACUAAACUUGCUAAUUAACAAGUGAGAUGAAUCAGGUGUGUUGGUGCAGAGAAACAGCUAAACAAUUCAGUUCCCUCCAAUACACUCUGGGAAAAAAAAAGCUUCUUCAUGGCUGCUUCUUUGGAUAGUUAACAGUUUGUAACUAGCUAAAUGGGCUCUUUUGGAACAAAACAGGAGGUGUAAUUGAUAUUUAAUUAGAGCCUGAGACGAAAUGAAGAAACAAGAGGAAUCAGGUCAUGCUUGGCUCCUGCUUUAAGUUCUUUAAGGACAACUGAAGAACUUCUAAAGAAAUAAGCUCCAUGGAAGCAGGAAAUAUUCCAACCAGAUGUCCUACACUAUAUAAGGCUGUUUAUAAAACCGGAGCAGACACGGACCGGAGACAGACAGCGUGAGGUUUUCACCAUAGCCUAAGGCUGAUGGAACCGGGUCUGGCUCCUCCAGGCCACCGUACAAAACAAACCGGCCUUGCAGAUGCGCACACACACACACACACACACACACACAUCCCUCAUUUUAAUCAUCGCCGAUGCUUCUCAUGAAUACAGAAACGCGGCCUGAGGCUGUGUGGGGCCUCCAAAUCGAGUCGAACAAAACCUCUAAAGGUCUGCAGAAUUACAAUUCACUACGUGACGGAAUGUCGGAACCUUUCACAGCAAGAGAGCGAGUGAAAAAGAGAGGGGAGAGAGAGAGAGAGAGAGAGAGAGAGAGGACACUGAAACACCUCAAACCCAUCUUCCGCACCAACCCAACAGGUUUCAUUAGCAUCACAAUGCCAAAGGCUAAUCCUCUGCAAGUAGCGCGUGAGAACUUUGAUACACAGUCUAGCGAUUAGCGCUCGGCGAACGUGACGUGAUCGCAGAAUGGACGGUUCGAGGCGGCACUUUUGGCGAGCGAGCAAUCAAUUGAAUCUGGAAGGUCCUCGUCGGUCGCAGCUGUUGCUUUCCCGAUGCUCGGAAAUUGGUGUGUUGGUAAACACACUUUUAAAAUGCGACGAUUUGUUUGGAUUCGUUUUAUCGGCAAUAAUUUGCUAAGCACAGCUUUAGUGGAGAGAUGGAUGGUUUUAUUCUUUGGAUGUUGAUGAAUUUGCAUGAAAGAAGAGCAGCUAAAGGGAAAAAAUAAAUAUAAAAUUUUAUACAUGUA